CUCAACGUGAUUGCUCUUCUCUGCUGGGAAACCAUAUUUCUUGUCCAGAAAGUGUCUCCAGGCUACUCUGAGACAGCGUGGGAGGUGAGCAGAAUGGCAGGCAGUGUGGAAGCUGUUUGCAUCUUGGCCCUGUGGCCUCUGCUCAGUGAGCCAGAAGGAGCUGCAUGCAUCAGUGGGAAGAAAUAUUGAAUUACUUCUAAGAAAAGUAUGGGAGAAAUUAGUGGACAAGACGCUGUGGUGACUACGAUGCUGUCAUGGACCCUCAAGAUGGAAACAGACUGGAUUCCUGACAAGAAGGCAGCUUCUCCUGAGAGCCCUUUCACCUGCACACGUUUUUAGGGAAUGGAUAAGAAAUUCUGUCAAUAAGCUUCUGGGAUUUGGGGGUUACUGUGUUAACCCAGUAUAAACUAGCCUAUUUCAUAAAUGUAAAAAUAUAGGAUUUCAACUGAUUACUAUGUAAGAAGGAAUAAAAUAAAGAUGACUAUUAUUUUAGGUAAAACAACUCAGUUCAAGAUCAUGUAUCUGUUGUCCUGAAUUGUAACCAAACUCAAUUUAACAUUUAAUUUAACUGUUGGGCAAAUAUAUAUAAAUAAUAUUUUAUAUAUAUAAUAUUAUAUAUAACAUAUAUUAAUUUAUCAUUGCCUUCAAGACUUUGACAAGACUAAGAAGAGUAUUUCCCAAAACUUUAAACUUUAAAUUUAGAAAGAACUUUAUUCUAUUAGAAC
rnacentral:lncRNA from 9 species